GACGAACGCUGGCGGCGUGCUUAACACAUGCAAGUCGAACGAAGAGCGACGGAAGCUUGCUUCUAUCAAUCUUAGUGGCGAACGGGUGAGUAACGCGUAAUCAACCUGCCCUUCAGAGGGGGACAACAGUUGGAAACGACUGCUAAUACCGCAUACGAUCUAAUCUCGGCAUCGAGGAUGGAUGAAAGGUGGCCUCUACAUGUAAGCUAUCACUGAAGGAGGGGAUUGCGUCUGAUUAGCUAGUUGGAGGGGUAACGGCCCACCAAGGCGAUGAUCAGUAGCCGGUCUGAGAGGAUGAACGGCCACAUUGGGACUGAGACACGGCCCAGACUCCUACGGGAGGCAGCAGUGGGGAAUCUUCCGCAAUGGACGAAAGUCUGACGGAGCAACGCCGCGUGAGUGAUGACGGCCUUCGGG
rnacentral:rRNA from 1 species